GACAGAGGUUGCAAACGUUGUUCGGAAUUACUGGGCAUAAAGCGCACGUAGGCGGUUUGUUAAGUCAUGUGUGAAAUCCCCCGGCUCAACCGGGGAAUUGCGCCUGAUACUGGCGGGCUAGAGAUCGAUAGGGGUGAGCGGAACCCCAGGUGGAGCGGUGAAAUGCGUAGAUAUCUGGAGGAACACCGGUGGCGAAAGCGGCUCACUGGAUCGAAACUGACGCUGAGGUGCGAAAGCUAGGGUAGCAAACGGG
rnacentral:rRNA from 1 species